UAGACGUCAGUGCAAAUACGAUGGGUGCCUAUUCAGCUACAAUUAUGAAUUGUAUUUGUUCAGAAAUAAAGCCCAUAAUGAGAGUUAUGGACAAUGAUUUGAGACACGAGGAAGGUUAACGUUAAGUUUUUUUUCGGUCUCUCAGCUGACUGACCGUCAGUGGUGGUCUGACGUGAUCGAUCGGUCACCGUGGAUUCUUCGAGAUGGUAUUCGGCCCCCCGGGAAGAAAGCAGUGGCUCGGACCACCUGCCUCCCAUCAGCCUAAACGGUACCUGCACCAUGGAGCUGCACCCCAAGGCCCAAGGCGUUGUCCUGCAUCAUGGGAAAGAGGAAGCACCACUUGUCCCUCCUUCUCAAACCUCAUCAGACUCUACAACUCUGUGCCAGAUUUACAGCAGCUCUGGAUUUCUCCUCACGCUGCAGCAGUGGAUGACACCACAGAGCACUGGCAGGAAUGAAGCCUGGUGGACACACGUGUCUCCACAGAAAAUGUCUGGUGGGACAUGCCCACUGCUGAACCUGAACAUCAGAGGAAAUCAGAUGCCCCUCUCUGUACUUGUCCUCCUAGGAGCACUGGGUUUUCCAAGUAGCUAUUUCAUAUACUCGGUUUCAACCCUCCUAGGCUGGUGUUCAGUGACUUUGGAACAGAUUCCUGACCACCACGACCCUGAAAAGGGCAAGCAGUUAAAAUCCUGUUCACUCAUGAUUGGAAAAUUGCAAGAUGAAUAAAGAGGAGAAAGAAUGAGAUGGUGC